CAACAAAUCUUGCGCUUAAUAACACUUUAAAUAAUAACUAGUGACGCUUUAAAGUAUCGGCAAGAAUAAUCUUGACGCUUGUAAAAGCGUCGAAAAAAGAAUCGUUAAGUAAACAUAUCGGGAAAAAUAUACUGACACUUUAAUAUAACAUCAGAAAAUUUUUAUCAAUAUUUGAUAAAAAUAUGUUUAUUCGCAACGCUUAAUUAUAGUGUUAGCACAUGUCAAAUAUUGAAGACGCUAGAAUAGAACGUUAUCUAAAAAGCGUCGUAUAAAACAUAUUUUGUUAUAGUAUGAAAUAUAUAUAUAU
rnacentral:lncRNA from 1 species